rnacentral:rRNA from 1 species
UACGUAGGGUGCAAGCGUUAUUCGGAAUUACUGGGCGUAAAGCGUGCGUAGGCGGCUUUGCAAGACAGAUGUGAAAUCCCCGGGCUUAACCUGGGAACUGCAUUUGAGACUGCAAGGCUGGAGUGCGGCAGAGGGGGAUGGAAUUCCGCGUGUAGCAGUGAAAUGCGUAGAUAUGCGGAGGAACACCGAUGGCGAAGGCAAUCCCCUGGGCCUGCACUGACGCUCAUGCACGAAAGCGUGGGGAGCAAACAGG